AUUGAACGCUGGCGGCAGGCCUAACACAUGCAAGUCGAACGAGUGGCGGACGGGUGAGUAAUGUCUGGGAAACUGCCUGAUGGAGGGGGAUAACUACUGGAAACGGUAGCUAAUACCGCAUACCAUCGGAUGUGCCCAGAUGGGAUUAGCUAGUAGGUGGGGUAAAGGCUCACCUAGGCGACGAUCCCUAGCUGGUCUGAGAGGAUGACCAGACAGACUGGAACGGCGACACGGUCCAGACUCUGACGGGAGACAGCAGUGGGGAAUAUUGCACAAUGGGCGCAAGACUGAUGCAGCCAUGCCGCGUGGAUGAAGAAGGCCUUCGGGUUGUAAAGUACUUGCAGCGGGGAGGCGUUACCCGCAGAAGAAGAACCGGCUAACUCCGUGCCAGCAGCCGCGGUAAUAC
rnacentral:rRNA from 1 species